rnacentral:rRNA from 1 species
UACGAAGGGGGCUAGCGUUGCUCGGAAUCACUGGGCGUAAAGCGCACGUAGGCGGAUUGUUAAGUCAGGGGUGAAAUCCUGGAGCUCAACUCCAGAACUGCCUUUGAUACUGGCGUGCUUGAGGACUGGAGAGGAGACUGGAAUUCACGGUGUAGCAGUGAAAUGCGUAGAUAUCGUGAGGAAGACCAGUGGCGAAGGCGGGUCUCUGGACAGUUCCUGACACUGAGGCACGAAGGCCAGGGGAGCAAACGGG